rnacentral:rRNA from 1 species
GACGAACGCUGGCGGCGUGCUUAACACAUGCAAGUCGAACGGAAAGGCCCUGCUUGCAGGGUGCUCGAGUGGCGAACGGGUGAGUAACACGUGGGUGAUCUGCCCCUUACUUUGGGAUAAGCCUGGUAAACUGGGUCUAAUACUGGAUAGGACCAUGCUGUAGGUGGUGUGGUGGAAAGAUUAGUUUCGGUAAGGGAUGAGCUCGCGGCCUAUCAGCUUGUUGGUGGGGUAAUGGCCUACCAAGGCGUCGACGGGUAGCCGGCCUGAGAGGGUGGACGGCAACAUUGGGACUGAGAUACGGCCCAGACUCAUACGGGAGGCAGCAGUGGGGAAUAUUGCACAAUGGGAGCAAGCCUGAUGCAGCGACGCCGCGUGGGGGAUGACGGCCUUCGGGUUGUAAACUACUUUCAGCCAUGAAGAAGCCCUUGUGGUGACGGUAGUGGUAGAAGAAGCACCGGCUAACUACGUG